rnacentral:misc_RNA from 1 species
CAACCCCUCAAGCAUGGCUUGGUGUUGGGCAAGGUCCCUAGGGGGACCCACCCUUAACCCGUAGGCGGUCAUCGCCCAUACCCCCAGCGUAGCAGGCUCACGCACUCGCUCGGGGAUGGACGUGUGAUCAUGCCCUUUUUACCGUUUUUCCAAG